AUAAACGCUAGCGGCAGGCCUAACACAUGCAAGUCGAGGGGCAGCGGAAGAAGUAGCUUGCUACUUCUGCCGGCGACCGGCGCACGGGUGCGUAACGCGUAUGCAACCUACCUUUAACAGGGGGAUAAUCCGAAGAAAUUUGGUCUAAUACCCCAUAAUAUUUCAGAAGGCAUCUUUUGAGGUUGAAAACUCCGGUGGUUAAAGAUGGGCAUGCGUUGUAUUAGCUAGAUGGUGAGGUAACGGCUCACCAUUGCGAUGAUACAUAGGGGGACUGAGAGGUUUUCCCCCCACACUGGUACUGAGACACGGACCAGACUCCUACGGGAGGCAGCAGUGAGGAAUAUUGGUCAAUGGACGCAAGUCUGAACCAGCCAUGCCGCGUGCAGGAUGAAGGUGCUAUGCAUUGUAAACUGCUUUUGUACGAGGGUAAAUUCAGAUACGUGUAUCUGUUUGAAAGUAUCGUACGAAUAAGGAUCGGCUAACUCCGUGCCAGCAGCCGCGGUAAUACGGAGGAUCCGAGCGUUAUCCGGAUUUAUUGGGUUUAAAGGGUGCGUAGGCGGUUUGAUAAGUUAGAGGUGAAAGCUCGAUGCUCAACAUCGAAAUUGCCUCUGAUACUGUCAGACUAGAGUGUAGUUGCGGAAGGCGGAAUGUGUGGUGUAGCGGUGAAAUGCUUAGAUAUCACACAGAACACCGAUUGCGAAGGCAGCUUUCCAAGCUAUUACUGACGCUGAGGCACGAAAGCGUGGGUAGCGAACAGGAUUAGAUACCCUGGUAGUCCACGCCGUAAACGAUGAUAACUCGUUGCCGGCGAUAUAGUGUCGGUGACUAAGCGAAAGCGAUAAGUUAUCCACCUGGGGAGUACGUUCGCAAGAAUGAAACUCAAAGGAAUUGACGGGGGCCCGCACAAGCGGAGGAACAUGUGGUUUAAUUCGAUGAUACGCGAGGAACCUUACCCGGGCUUAAAUUGCAAAUGAAUUAUGGGGAAACCCAUAGGCCGUAAGGCAUUUGUGAAGGUGCUGCAUGGUUGUCGUCAGCUCGUGCCGUGAGGUGUCGGGUUAAGUCCCAUAACGAGCGCAACCCCUACUGUUAGUUGCCAGCAUGUCAAGAUGGGCACUCUAGCAGGACUGCCGGUGUAAGCCGAGAGGAAGGUGGGGAUGACGUCAAAUCAGCACGGCCCUUACGUCCGGGGCGACACACGUGUUACAAUGGUCGGUACAGAGGGUAGCUACCUGGUGACAGGAUGCCAAUCUCGAAAGCCGAUCUCAGUUCGGAUUGGAGGCUGAAACUCGCCUCCAUGAAGUUGGAUUCGCUAGUAAUCGCGCAUCAGCCAUGGCGCGGUGAAUACGUUCCCGGGCCUUGUACACACCGCCCGUCAAGCCAUGGGAGUUGGGGGUGCCUGAAGUACGUGACCGCAAGGAGCGUCCUAGGGCAAAACCGAUGACUGGGGCU
rnacentral:rRNA from 1 species